GAAUUUAAGUUAAUCAAACUAUUGACCUUCAAAGUCAAAAUUAGAUAAAUUUAUCUAAUUCUUA
rnacentral:tRNA from 1 species